UACGUCAGGGGGCUAGCGUUGUCCGGAAUCAUUGGGCGUAAAGCGCGUGUAGGCGGCCCGGUAAGUCCGCUGUGAAAGUCGGGGGCUCAACCCUCGGAUGCCGGUGGAGUACUGUCGGGCUGGAGUGCGGAAGAGGCGAGUGGAAUCCUGGUGUAGCGGUGAAAUGCGCAGAUAUCAGGAGGAACACCGAUUGCGAAGGCAGCUCGCUGGGACGUGAAGCUGACGCUGAGACGCGAAAGCGUGGGGAGCAAACAGGAUUAGACUACCCGGAGUAA
rnacentral:rRNA from 1 species